UUUAUAUAUAUAUAUAUAUAUAUAUAUAUAUAUAUAUAUAUAUAUACACACACACAUAUAUACAUAUAUAUAUAUACACACAUAUAUACAUAUAUAUAUAUA
rnacentral:miRNA from 1 species